GGGGGGAAAGCAAGCUGGAGGACAGGUGAGACAGCAGGACAGGACCGGAGCAGGGCCCCAAGCCCCCGGGCCUGGUGGGGGACGCGCUUCUUCCCACACUGUGAGCCUCAGCAGCUCCAGCCAGCGGACCCGACGGCUGAGAGGUGAGUGUACCCCACUUUUGUCUCCUGGCUCGGGGUUCACUAGGCUCGAGACUACUGCAGUGUCC
rnacentral:lncRNA from 1 species